UUUAAAGGGCCCAUAUCAUGCAAAAUCCACUUUUUAGACAUUUUGGAGCGUUCCUAUGACUCUAUGGGUCACAUAUACACACACUGAGCACGGUAGAAAUGCAUUUCCUGCUUUUUUCACAUUUUGAAAACGUAAAUUUUCUUAUCCAAUGAAAACAGCCACGACCUACUCUGAGGCCGUUCCCCAGUUCUCGUCACACUGGUUGAAAGUUCUCCUUGCAAAUCCUGAACCACCACCCCCACAAUGAUCCCGAACCAAAACUGGACUUCCGCCAUUUCCCCCCUCUCACUCACCGUGAACAGACCAGCACGGCAGCGCCCAAGUCCUCCCAUAGAAAUAGUUCGGUUCUUGGGUGUUCUAACCAACACCAAAGUCUAUUCAUUUUACCAGGGAACAACAAGUGAGGAUUUGUGGGUCACUUUUAUUUUUAACGGACCGGUGCCAGAAACACUGCCUCAGCAUUUAUACGUAUGUGCAUUUCAAACGAGGGUGCGUACAAUGCUGGAUUUGUUUCACGGCUCCUGUUGGAAAAAAAGGACCUAUUCCUAAAGUCCGUCAUCCACUCACUGAAGAGGGCAAAUCCCAGUUGCCCACAUGCAAGGAGGCUGUCAAACAGAGAAAUCACUGCAGACUGUUGGUACACAGACAUCUGCUGCCCAGCUCAGGAGUAAAGGUAUGUAAGUUUGUAUGUACCAACAGUAAGAUAGGUAAUAGAAGAUUUUAAUUGGUAUAUACUGUUUAGAUUUUAUAUUUGAAUUGUAACAACUGUUUAUCUGUUGUUUUAGCACAGACAGGCCUGUCCUCUUGUUUGGUUUAAUUUUUUGUCUGGUAUUGUGUGUUCUUACAUUAGAGAAGGUUUUGACCUACAUAAUAAUUAACAUUUCACUAAUCUACAAUUCUGAUUGCACUACCUUUUGUUUUGAUGAGGUGAUGGUGAGGACAGCCACAGCUUCCAUCUGGUAGAGGACUGCUUCCGCUCAGUCUUCCAAAUAGUGAUGAGAACAAGGAUCACCACAUCUCCCUGUUUACCCUACUUUCAUGCAUUUCGUCUGCAAGGCCCUGCAAAAGCUUCUCCUUCGUCCUCAAACCCCCAGACUUCUUAAUUAACUCAGUAACCUAUACAUUGCACAUUGGAGUGUGAAGGUAACAGUUUGUUCUAGCUUUGGCGUAGUGGUGUAUUUUUUUGGUUUACAAUAAAGUUGGCUUUAACUAUUA